GCCAGCGUGAUGUAGUGGUUUGAAUGUUGGACUAUGGCUGAGGAGACCAGGGUUCGAUUCCUUGCUCAAGCA